rfam:Triticum aestivum genome assembly, contig: Triticum_aestivum_CS42_TGACv1_scaffold_093197_2AL
UAGUUUUGUUUUAAGUCAAACUUUGUAAGUUUUGGCCACAUUUAUAUUAAAAAUAUCAACAUAUACAAUACCAAAUAAAUAAAAAUAUGCAAACAUAUUCCUUGGUGGAUCUAAUAAUAUCCAUUUGGAAUUGUGAAUGUUGAUAUUUUUUCUAUAAACUUGGUCAAACAUCACAAAGUUUGACUUGAGGCGAACCUAA